GAGACUUUAAUCGCCGAGGGAGUUUUUGAGGCGGUGGCUACUGAGGUGGUGCCUGAGAGAGCUCCAGAGCCUGUAGCAGAUAAAAGACCCAUUGAGCCAACAAUAGUAGGCUUGCAAUCACAGCUUGAACAAGUUUGGAGAUGUCUUGUAGAAGAAUCAGUGGGAAUCAUUGGCCUAUAUGGUAUGGGCGGUGUUGGUAAAACCACACUAUUGACCCAUAUCAACAAUAAAUUUCUUGAGAGUCCCACAAACUUUGAUUGUGUGAUUUGGGUCCUAGUUUCAAAAGACCUGCGACUUGAAAAAAUUCAAGAAGAUAUUGGGAAGAAGAUAGGUUUGGUUGAUGAUUCAUGGAAGAAUAAAAGUUUUGAAGAGAAAGCUGUGGACAUCCUGCGGAGAUUAGGAGAGAAGAGAUUUGUAUUGUUGUUAGAUGAUUUAUGGGAGCGGGUUGAUUUAACAGAAGUGGGCGUUCCACUUCCCAGCGCACAAAAUACUACCUCAAAAGUCGUAUUCACAACCCGUUCCAUUGGUGUUUGUGGCAGCAUGAGAGCUAGGCCGGUUAAAGUGGCAUGCCUAUCAGAAAAGCAAGCUUGGGAACUGUUCCGCGAAAAUGUUGGGGAAGAAACUCUUGAGAGUGAUCAUGAGAUCGUUGAGCUAGCCCAAACUGUAGCCAAAGAGUGUGGUGGUUUGCCACUCGCACUUAUUACUAUUGGUCGAGCUAUGGCCAACAGAAAUACAGCUGAGGAGUGGAGACAUGCAAUUGAAGUAUUAAAAAGGUCAGCUUCGGAGUUUGCGGGUUUGGAAAAAGAUGUAUAUCCUCUUUUAAAGUUUAGUUAUGAUAGUUUGCAGAAUGAGACGAUUAGAACUUGUUUCUUAUAUUGCUGUUUGUAUGCGGAAGAUUAUGUCAUUCCUAAAUGGGACUUGAUUGAUUGUUGGAUUGGUGAGGGAUUCUUAGAGGAAUCUCACGGUUUUGGUGCAGAAAACCAAGGAUACUACAUUGUGGGCACUCUUGUUCGUGCAUGUUUAUUAGAAGAGGUGGAAGAUGAUGAAGUAAAAAUGCAUGACGUUAUUCGUGAUAUGGCUAUAUGGAUAACCUGUGAAAUUGAGAAGGAGAAGAGAAACUUUUUGGUUCGUGCAGGUGCUGGAUUAAAAGAGGCACCGGAUGUUAAAAGAUGGGAAAAUGUGAGAAGAUUGUCAUUGAUGCAAAACCAAAUUGAAACUCUGUCAGAGGUUCCCACAUGCCCUCAUCUCCAUACUCUAUUUCUUGCCUCUAAUAAUAGUUUGCAGAGGAUCACCGAUGGCUUCUUCCAACUUAUGCCUUCUCUCAAAGUUUUGAAGAUGUCAAACUGCUGGAAUUUUACUUUGAAAUUACCUUUGGCGAUGUCAGAGUUGGGUUCGUCACUAGAACUUCUUGAUAUUUCAUAUGCCAGCAUAACAGAGUUACCAGAAGAGUUAAAGUUGUUGGUAAAUCUGAAAUGUUUGAAUUUGAGGUGGACAGAUACGUUAAAUAAAAUUCCACGGCAACUAAUAUCAAUUCUUUCAUGGUUACGUGUGUUGAGAAUGUUGGGUACUGGCUGGUUCAAUUUUCUUGAAGCACCAGAAGACAGCGUUUUAUUUGGUGGGGGUGAAGUUUUGAUACAGGAAUUGCUCGGUUUGAAAUAUUUAGAGGUAUUGGAGUUGACCUUGGGAAGUUAUCAUGCUCUCCAAAUUCUUUUGAGCUCAAAUAAGUUAAAAAGUUGUAUUCGAUCUCUUUACCUCCAUUUGACCGGAGAUACAGCGUCAAUUAUUGAUGCUACGGUUUUCGCAGAUCUAAACCAACUCAAUCAAUUAUGGAUUGAUGAAGGUAUUGAGUUGGAAGAAUUGAAGAUUGAUUAUACGGAGAUAGUACGAAAAAGGCGGGAACCUUUUGUUUUCCGCAGCCUUCACUGUGUUCGUAUAGAGCAGUGCCAUAAAUUGAAAGAUGUGACAUUCCUCAUUUUUGCUCCAAACCUCAAGUCUCUUGACCUAUCCUACUGCUCUUCUAUGGAAGAAGUAAUCAGCGUCGGAAAAUUUGCUGAGACUCCUGAGAUGAUGGGACAUAUAAGCCCUUUUGAAAAUCUCCAAAGUCUUCAUUUAUCGCAAUUGCCAGCUUUGAAGAGCAUCUACUGGAAGCCAUUGCCUUUCACUCAUCUCAAAGAAAUAUCUGUGGGUUAUUGCCGUAAUCUUAAAAAGCUUCCACUCGAUUCCAACAGUGCAAAGGAGCGUAAAUUUGUAAUUCGUGGAGAAGAAGACUGGUGGAACCGACUUCAAUGGGAGGAUGAAGCCACUCAAAUUGCUUUUCGUUCCUGUUUCCAACCAAUGGGAGUACUGAGCGGUGGUCGCAAAAUUUGAUUUCUGGUGAGUGCGUUUGUCUUUUAAAAGCAGAAUUUAAAAGAAAUUUAUUCUUGUCGUUUUCUUCUCUGUUUUUAUUUGAUUUCUGGUUAGUUUCUCUCUCGCACUGCCAUUACUGUUUUAAUUUCCUGUCAAAAGACGAGCGAGAAGAACAUAUAUAUGACGUAAACCAAUUGAUAAAUAUUAAUUGCCUGUUCUCUGUUUUUAUUAAGUAUACUUUAUUUUGCCCUGUUCUCUGUUUUUAUUUCAUUCUCUCUCUCUCCCUCUCUUUCCUGUCUUCUGCAAGUCAUAAUUAAAUGUUGAAUUAUAUGGAAUUAAUGCUUUAUAAAUCUGCCUACGCUGGCUUUUUUUUUUUUUUUUGUGGGGUCGAAUUGAUGCUCUGGUUUUCGACUACUUUUUGUUGUCAAAAUUUUCUCUGUUUUUUCAAAUUGAUGCUUUAUUUAUAUCUUCUUCGUGAAAAGUGAUUUAAUUUCCUGCCAAAAGACGAACGAGAAGAACAUUAGAGUCUAACUAAUGCUCACAUAAAUUUCCCGUAAGAAUAUAUAUAUAAUUAGACUGGAAUGCACACCUCUAGAUUGAACAGAAUUAAAGCUGAGAAAAUAUUGAGUAUAGUAGCCCUCUUUACAGAAAAUGACGCGAAAGUUAAUUUAGAAAAAGAUAUAUUCUUGAUUAAUCCAUUUUCUGAAGUUUUUUAUUUUGUAUGGUCAAUUAUACCUUCAUACUAAAAAUUUCUGAAGUUAUGGGGUUGUUGGAUGUGUUUUGGAUAUUUGCAGCUAAGUUUGAGUUUAUAUCUCAACUUAAAAUUUGUAGUUUUCACUUGAAAAAAUUCAGUUAAAAAUUUAUUGGUAGAAUUGUGAAAAAAGUUAAAAUUUUUAGUUCAACCCGAUUGCAUAUUUAAGAACAUCUCAAAUGAAUUGCUUACUGCUAUCAUCAUCAUUAUUGUCCAUAUAAUAAUGGAUCUUUAUUAUAUAUAUAUAUGUUUCCACUAAAAUAUAUUUAAUUAUUCUUUAUUUUUCCAUUGUUGCGUGUAAGAUUUAUUUGAGUUCUAAGUUAUAUCAAUACAAAUGUUAUCUUAUCCAUAAAAAAGUUAGAUCCAACAAUUAUGAAAAUUACCAUAGAGUUGCUUUCAAUUAUUUUUUAAAAAUACCAGGAGUAAAUAAUAAUUAGUUCAAGUGGUGUAGACUAAAAAGUGUUCACCUUUAUUUUUUAUCUGUUAUUUAUUUAUUUCAUUAAUGCACAUGCUAUACAUUUGAGACACUCCAUCCUAUGCAAUGUGAAUAAAUUUCUUUCCUUUUUCCUUUACUCUUUUUAUUUGACAAUAAAGUUUCCAUCUAUCAUCUAUCAUCUAUCAUCUAUGUACGCAAAAUUUCUGCAACAAGUACAAAACAUAAAAAUAUAUAUGAUUGUUAAGGGAAACACGCAGAAGUUCAUCAUUUCAAUGUUCAGUAUUACCAAUUUUGGCAUUAAGCUUGUACGAAUAUAUUCCACUUAGAAAGCAAAAUAUUAGACUCAUGAUUUUAAUUCAUUCAUUAUCUCUCAUUUUAAUCCCAAAAUAUUCAAGAGUAUCCAAGUUACCAUAAGACUUCAGAGGCUCGAGCCUUAGCCAGAGAUGGUUAAUUGAUAGACUAUGUGCCUGGGUCGAGCACUGGAAGCCUGCAAUGCAGACUGAUUGAUUUAUCAGUUUGACGUGUGCCAGGAAUGAAGAACUGGAAUAUCACCGUCAAGCACGCACCCUGUGGAGCAAUACCAAAGAAUGCACAAUCUGGCUUUGCUAGGUGACACUGGAGGCUUUUUGAAAAGUGCUUCACGCUCACUUGCACAGAUUGAGCAUCCCCUCCGGAUAUUGCCCUCUCUGAUCGAGUCCGAGCACUCAAAUUUCAAUCCUCAGAUGGAGCUACAGCUUUCUCUCCAAUAACCAACAAUUUUCUAAACUCAGCUCCUAGUGUGAUGAGAGUUGUUGAUAUUUGUAAAUGGAGAUCCCCAUAUUUGCAAAUGGAGACAUUUAACAAAUCACCAACAUGCUUCAUUCGGUCUACGAAAUUCUGCAGCUGAUUCAAAUCCGGAACCUGAACCAGAGUCGGAGGUAAAUCUUGAGCCAUAUCUAAAGCAGUCUGAAGUUCAAGUACUUGAGCCCUUGACAAUGGUUUUGAAAUAGGAACAUCUUGGAUUACUGCAGACUUGUACCCCUUGGUUUCAAAGGUAAGGAAAGGCAUUGCUUGAGUACAAUUUGGAGGCAGCUUCUUCACCAAUUUUAUUUGGAGGCGAUUGGCAGCGGAUCCAGCUGCACCAAUUUCAGAGCAAAUACUGACACUACUUCGAACAGCACACUGAAGAAGUGAUAUGUCUACGGCAAAGGCAAUGCAGUCCUCAUUUUGGCUUGAGAUGCAGUAAUCAUCGAAGAGAGUUUCCUUGUGAAACUGGGCAACACAUUGAAUCCCUUCGCCACUGAGAAGGUUGUGGAGGAAGUAAGCUUUCUCUCUAGUGAGGAAGAGGUGGCAUACCUUCCCCAUUUUGUCUAGGGCAGGUAGGAAUCAUUUUUCUAAGAGAUUUACUUCAUUCUCUGUGAGAAAUGAAUUGAACUUCAUCCCUCUGUCUCUAUCCUCACUUAUCAGAAAAUAAGUUGAAAGCACUUCGGAGAGAGAGAGAGAGAGAAUUAAGAUAUAUAGACAAGAAAAAUAUUAGACGUUGAUCUUACAAACUAAUACUUCAAGCAGUAUCCUAGAAAGCUAAAAACUGCAAGAUGGCUUGAAAUUUGAAAAGAGCACGUGCUUUUCCUCCUUAACUUGAGAAAAUGUUUAAUAUAGUGCACCUACAGAAGCAUUUAAGCAAUUAGAACUUUGCACAAAAACAUCAAGAAGACUAAACAAAUCAGAUGCAGUGUAUUUGUCCAAGCACAAAUUGCAUUUUGUCCUCAACUUUAAUAUUUAUUGAUGAGAAUCAAUACAGGUCCCUCAUUUGAUAUAGAAAGCUUUCUUUCUUGUAGUCUCACCAGUUAAUUCACAGGUCUAUAAUCAUCUUGCAAAGUUAAGGGCAUUUCUUUCGAUCUAAAGUCUUUGCAUCACCACCUCAUCACACGCCAAGCCAAUAUUCCAUUUACCUCUACAACAAAAAGUUUUAAGUAAACAAUCCUAAUGCACGCAGCCAAAUAAAAUGCAGUAAGAAUAUUCAACUUAAAAAUCUGAAAGCCGACUUGGUGAAUUGCCUCCUUAGGUGAAGUUCCAUGCUUUACUAUAGUUGACAGAACUCAGCAAAAGCUUCCAUACAACAGAUUUUGAAAAUGAUGAUGCCAAUAGAUACUCAUUCAAUCCAUUGAAAAUCCAAAGGUUCAUUGUUAAUAGAAGUUUACAGAGUUUUGGUCAUCAAAUAGCUCAGACCUAAUCCCAAACAAAAAACGAGUGAAAAUUAGAUCACGAGCAGCUGAUUGUAAAUUCUAACUUAACUCUUCAUCUCCUUUGUAAACAAGAAACAAAAUGGAGACACGCAAAAUGAAUAUGGAGAAAAUUUGAACUCAAAUGAAAUGAGGGCACGAAAGCAAACAAAUGGCAUGCACAAAAAAACCAAGCCUCAAUCAAAAACUAAUUAACCAUUAAGAAAAAAAUUGGUCAGAUAAUGAACUACAAAUUCAGGAGUCAAGCAAGAAGCUUUCAUUAUUUCAGAAGCUCCUGUACAAAUUAAUAAGUUAUGCUCUUUGGAAGCAAACCUAAAUUCCAAGAGAAACAGAACCCAAAAAAUUUGCAAUUAUACGCAAAGGGAGUGAAGCACAGGAUUCUAUCACACAUAGGAAUUGUAUAACAAGAGAUCGAUAUAUCGAAUUAGAAAACUCAAUUCGAAUUUGUGUCAAAAAUCAAAAUUAGAAGAUUUCACAUUUCGAGAGGAACAAGCAACAGAUGAAGUUCAAAAUUUCAGCCAUAACAUGCUAAAAAUGCUACACUUAACGGUUCAUUUUCAUGGAUUUUCUCGGGAAACAAACAGAAAAUUACGGUUUAGAGAUUUGACUGACCUUUUGGCUUUUGAAAUUGAGAAGAUCGCACGCCAAAUUGGAAGAGGGAAAGUGAAAGUGCGAGUUUUAAUAUGGGUAUUAGAUAAGGAAAUUUUAUUAGGUUGCGAGGGUAAAAAAGGAAAGAGAUAUCAUUGUUUUAUUAUCGAUAAUUAUUAAAUUUUUUUCCAAAAAAAAAGAACAAGCAAGGAUAUUUUAUUGUCAUUUGCAACCUUUAAUUUUUUAAAUGCUAUUAGAAACACAAGACAAUAAAGAAAUACUUAUUUUUUUCUAAAACUAAAAUCAAUUGUUUAAAAAAAAUUGUUUCAAAAUUACUUGAGUCAUAUCCAAUGGACCAACAAAGUAAUCGUUUUUAUUUUUAUUGAUUUUUGCAGGAAAUUAAUAACUUAAAAAUACUGAAAGCUAUUGUAAAAAUUUUUAUUAUCAACCUCAUAGUUUUUUUUUUUUUUUUUGGGAAGAGAAUUCAAACUUUUUUUUUUAUGAAUAUCGCUGUUUCGUUUGAGUUGGAUGUGAAUUCAAAUACAAAUAUUCUUUGUUUUUCAAUUCUGAACUCAAUUUCUUUUUUUCAAGAAUGUUAUGCAGAAAUGAUUUUUACUGAACGGCAACAAAUGAAAAGGCUGGGCCAAGUGGAAUGGUGGGUUUCGAGGGUGGAUGCUGUUAAAAUUGAAGCUGAUGAACUUAUCAGAGACGGCUCUCAAGAAAUUGACAAAUUGUGUGUUGGAGGCUACUGUUCUAAGAACUGCACGUCAAGCUACAAGUUCGGGAAACAAGUGGCUAAAAAGCUACGAGAUGUGGAGACUUUAAUCGCUGAAGGAGUUUUUGAGGCGGUGGCUACCGAGGUGGUGCCUGAGAGAGCAGAGCCUGUAGCAGAUGAAAGACCUACCGAGCGAACAGUAGUAGGCUUGCAAUCACAACUUGAACAAGUCUGGAGAUGUCUUGCAGAAGAAUCAGAGGGAAUCAUUGGCCUAUAUGGUAUGGGCGGUGUUGGUAAAACUACAU
rnacentral:lncRNA from 1 species